rnacentral:rRNA from 1 species
GACGAACGCUGGCGGCGUGCUUAACACAUGCAAGUCGAACGGAAAGGCCCUGCUUUUGUGGGGUGCUCGAGUGGCGAACGGGUGAGUAACACGUGAGUAACCUGCCCUUGACUUUGGGAUAACUUCAGGAAACUGGGGCUAAUACCGGAUAGGAGCUCCUGCUGCAUGGUGGGGGUUGGAAAGUUUCGGCGGUUGGGGAUGGACUCGCGGCUUAUCAGCUUGUUGGUGGGGUAGUGGCUUACCAAGGCUUUGACGGGUAGCCGGCCUGAGAGGGUGACCGGCCACAUUGGGACUGAGAUACGGCACAGACUCCUACGGGAGGCAGGAGUGGGGAAUAUUGCACAAUGGGCGGAAGCAUGAUGCAGUAACGCCGCGUGCGGGAUGACGGCCUUCGGGUUGUAAACCGAUUUCGCAUGUGACGAAGAGUGAGUGACGGUAAUGGGUAAAGAAGCACCGGCUAACUACGUG